rnacentral:rRNA from 1 species
UACGUAGGGUGCAAGCGUUAAUCGGAAUUACUGGGCGUAAAGCGUGCGCAGGCGGCUUUGCAAGACAGAUGUGAAAUCCCCGGGCUCAACCUGGGAACUGCAUUUGUGACUGCAUGGCUAGAGUACGGUAGAGGGGGAUGGAAUUCCGCGUGUAGCAGUGAAAUGCGUAGAUAUGCGGAGGAACACCGAUGGCGAAGGCAAUCCCCUGGACCUGUACUGACGCUCAUGCACGAAAGCGUGGGAGCAAACAGGAUUACG